rnacentral:rRNA from 1 species
UACGAAGGGGACUAGCGUUGUUCGGAAUCACUGGGCGUAAAGCGCACGUAGGCGGCCAACUAAGUCAGACGUGAAAUCCCUCGGCUUAACCGGGGAACUGCGUCUGAUACUGGAUGGCUUGAAUCCGGGAGAGGGAUGCGGAAUUCCAGGUGUAGCGGUGAAAUGCGUAGAUAUCUGGAGGAACACCGGUGGCGAAGGCGGCAUCCUGGACCGGCAUUGACGCUGAGGAGCGAAAGCCAGGGGAGCAAACGGG